UGGGGAAUAUUGGACAAUGAGGGCAACCUUGAUCCAGCCAUGCCGCGUGUGUGAAGAAGGCCUUCGGGUUGUAAAGCACUUUAAGUUGUGAAGAAGGCUGUACGGCUAAUACCCGUGCAGAUUGACAUUAGCAACAGAAUAAGCACCGGCUAACUCCGUGCCAGCAGCCGCGGUAAUACGGAGGGUGCAAGCGUUAAUCGGAAUUACUGGGCGUAAAGCGCGCGUAGGUGGUUUGUUAAGUCGGAUGUGAAAGCCCAGGGCUCAACCUUGGAACUGCAUUCGAUACUGGCAGGCUAGAGUAUGGUAGAGGGAGGUAGAAUUCCACGUGUAGCGGUGAAAUGCGUAGAGAU
rnacentral:rRNA from 1 species